UACGGAGGGUGCGAGCGUUACCCGGAAUUACUGGGUGUAAAGGGAGUGUAGGCGUUCUCUCAAGUCCUAUGCUAAAGACCGAGGCUCAACCUCGGUAGUGCGUUGGAUACUGUGAGGCUAGACGGUCGGAGAGGGCAGCGGAAUUCUCGGAGUAGCGGUUAAAUGCGCAGAUACCGCGAGGAACGCCAAUAGCGAAGGCAGGUGCUUGGACGAUUUGUGUCGCUGAGGAGCGAAAGCGUGGGGAGCAAACCGG
rnacentral:rRNA from 1 species